rnacentral:ncRNA from 1 species
AUUUCUCAAAUCUUGACACCAAACAUCGGGAGUAGCUAUGGCUCUCUUAAGGUAGCGAAAUGCCUCAUCAUCUAAUUAGUAAUGCACAUGAAUGGAU